UCUGGCGUCUGACUGCACAGCGCAUCAGCCCGGCCAGCCGCGAGGAGACGGCUGUGCGUGACCUGCUGCUAGGGAAGGUGCUGGCGUUGGAGUGCCUGCUGGCCCGAAGACUGCACACCUUCCACAGACAAAUCUCACAGGAAGAUAAAAAUUGGGAGACCAAUAUCCAGGAGCUCCAAAAAAAGCACAGGAUAUCAGACAGGAUUCUGCUCGCCAAAUGCCUGACGGUGUUGGGAUUUGUUAUCUUCACGUUCUUUCUCAAUUCAUUUG